GUGCCAGCCGCCGCGGUAAUACCGGCAGCCCGAGUGAUGGCCGAUAUUAUUGGGCCUAAAGCGUCCGUAGCUGGCCGACCAAGUCUCCCGGGAAAUCCACCCGCCCAACGGGUGGGCGUCCGGUAGAAACUGGCCGGCUUGGAACCGGAAGGCUCGAAGGGUACGUUCGGGGUAGGAGUGAAAUCCCAUAAUCCCGCACGGACCACCGAUGGCGAAAGCACUUCGAGAAGACGGCUCCGACGGUGAGGGACGAAAGCUAGGGUCUCGAACCGGAUUAGAAACCCUGGUAGUCC
rnacentral:rRNA from 1 species